rnacentral:misc_RNA from 1 species
AAGUCGUAACAAGGUUUCCGUAGGUGAACCUGCGGAAGGAUCAUUAAUGAAUGAAUGUAGAGUCGGUUGUAGCUGACCUCCUAGAGGUAUGUGCACGCCUUCUCUUUCAUCCACACACCCCUGUGCACUCGUGAGACAGAGGCAUUUGUUUUCCUUUAAUCGGGGAACGGGUCUCUGUCUACAUCACAUAAAAUCUAAUUUAUUUAAAACUGAAUGUAAUUGAUGUAACGCAUCUAAUACAAAGUUUCAACAACGGAUCUCUUGGCUCUC